GCUUUGUGUACAGUUGUUUGAACUUGAUUUCGUAUCCGCAGUUAAUUUAUGUAUGCCUCCUUUUGAUUUAUUCAAGUCGGUGGAUUCGUUCAUUUCUUAUAAAUAAUAACCAAUCAUGUUGCUAUAAAUCAAUCUUUUGCAUUUCUGUUUGAUCAAAACAUGGUUCUUGAAAUUUAUUUGCCGAAUUCCUCGUAACAUUUUUUUAGCUGAUUUUUGCUUUUCAUUUUAUGAGGUUGGUUGAUUAUGUUGUUAACAUAGUCUUUUCCAUUUCUUGAAUGCAUGCAUCAGCAUGGAGCUCUGAUUUUAUUAUAGGAUGCUUUUAUGAGGUGGUAUGAAUCUAAGUUUACUUCACAGUACUCUUUUUUCUUUCCUUUUUUUUUUAAAAAAAAAAUGCUUGCAGUGAUUCUCAUAAUUUAUAAAACUGUUUUUAAAUCUAGAGGCACGGAAUUGUUUGUUCAAGAUCAGCUAGACAUGUAAGAAGA